GUGUCACUUCGGCAGCACAUAUACUAAAAUUGGAACCAAAUAGAGAAAAUUAACAUGGCCCCUGGGCAAGGAUAACAUGCAAAUCCAUGAAGCGUUCCAUAUUUUU